ensembl:snoRNA SNORA70 Small nucleolar RNA SNORA70
CUGGUACAAUGGCUACAAACAGCAGCCUCCUGUUGGUAGUGUAUGCAGCCUGUUUCUUGUAUGGGUUGCUCUAAGGGACCUUGGAGACAGCC